rnacentral:rRNA from 1 species
GAUGAACGCUAGCGGCAGGCUUAACACAUGCAAGUCGAGGGGUAGAGGUUGCUUGCAACCUUGAGACCGGCGCACGGGUGCGUAACGCGUAUGCAACCUACCUUUUACAGAGGGAUAGCCCAGAGAAAUUUGGAUUAAUACCUCAUAGUAUAUAACCUUCGCAUGUUGGUUAUAUUAAAGUUUUAACGGUAAAAGAUGGGCAUGCGUCCUAUUAGCUAGAUGGUAAGGUAACGGCUUACCAUGGCAACGAUAGGUAGGGGUCCUGAGAGGGAGAUCCCCCACACUGGUACUGAGACACGGACCAGACUCCUACGGGAGGCAGCAGUGAGGAAUAUUGGACAAUGGGCGCAAGCCUGAUCCAGCCAUGCCGCGUGCAGGAAGAAGCAUCUAUGGUGUGUAAACUGCUUUUGUACAGGAAGAAACACCCCGACGUGUCGGGACUUGACGGUACUGUAAGAAUAAGGAUCGGCUAACUCCGUGCCAGCCGCCGCGGUAACAC